CCUACGGGGGGCAGCAGUGAGGAAUAUUGGUCAAUGGUCGGGAGACUGAACCAGCCAAGCCGCGUGAGGGAUGAAGGUACAGAGUAUCGUAAACCUCUUUUGUCAGGGAACAAAGGCGGGGACGUGUCCCCGGAUGAGUGUACCUGAAGAAAAAGCAUCGGCUAACUCCGUGCCAGCAGCCGCGGUAAUACGGAGGAUGCGAGCGUUAUCCGGAUUUAUUGGGUUUAAAGGGUGCGAAGGCGGUCUGUUAAGUCAGCGGUAAAAGCCCGGGGCUCAACCCCGGCCCGCCGUUGAAACUGGCAGUCUCGAGUUGGAGAGAAGUAUGCGGAAUGCGCGGUGUAGCGGUGAAAUGCAUAGAUAUCGCGCAGAACUCCGAUUGCGAAGGCAGCAUGCCGGCUCCACACUGACGCUGAGGCACGAAAGCGUGGGUAUCGAACAGGAUUAGAUACCCUUGUAGUC
rnacentral:rRNA from 1 species